AUUGACCUCGGAUCAGGUAGGGAUACCCGCUGAACUUAAGCAUAUCAAUAAGCGGAGGAAAAGAAACCAACAGGGAUUGCCUCAGUAACGGCGAGUGAAGCGGCAACAGCUCAAAUUUGAAAUCUGGCCCCGUCGGGGUCCGAGUUGUAAUUUGUAGAGAGUGUUUCGGGUGAGACCACGGUCUAAGUCUAUUGGAACAUGGCGUCAUAGAGGGUGAGAAUCCCGUAUGUGACCGUGGCUCGAGCCCAUGUGAAGCCUCUUCGACGAGUCGAGUUGUUUGGGAAUGCAGCUCAAAAUGGGUGGUAAAUUUCAUCUAAAGCUAAAUACUGGCUGGAGACCGAUAGCGCACAAGUAGAGUGAUCGAAAGAUGAAAAGCACUUUGGAAAGAGAGUCAAAAAGUACGUGAAAUUGUUGAAAGGGAAGCGCUUGCAACCAGACCUGUCCGUAGGUGAUCAGCCGCUGUUCUCAGCGGUGCACUCGCUCUGCGAUCAGGCCAGCAUCGGUUCUGGCGGUCGGAUAAAGGCCUUGGGAAUGUAGCUCCCUUCGGAGAGUGUUAUAGCCCUCGGUGCAAUGCGGCCAGCUGGGACCGAGGACCGCGCUUCGGCUAGGAUGCUGGCGUAAUGGUUGUAAGCGACCCGUCUUGAAACACGGACCAAGGAGUCUACCAUCUAUGCGAGUGUUUGGGUGUUAAACCCAUGCGCGGAAUGAAAGUGAACGGAGGUGAGAACCCUUUAGGGCGCAUCAUCGACCGAUCCAGAUGUCUUCGGAUGGAUUUGAGUAUGAGCAUAGCUGGUGGGACCCGAAAGAUGGUGAACUAUGCCUGAAUAGGGUGAAGCCAGAGGAAACUCUGGUGGAGGCUCGCAGCGGUUCUGACGUGCAAAUCGAUCGUCAAAUUUG
rnacentral:rRNA from 1 species